GACGAACGCUGGCGGCGUGGAUUAGGCAUGCAAGUCGAACGGUAUCAUCCUUUCGGGGGUGAGAGAGUGGCGAACUGGUGAGUAACACGUAGGUUAUCUACCCUCAAGACGGGGACAACCCAGGGAAACUUGGGCUAAUACCGGAUGUGAGCAACUUUUAGUUGUUUGAAAGGUGGCAUAAGCUGUCGCUUGGGGAUGAGCCUGCGUCCUAUUAGUUAGUUGGUGAGGUAAGAGCUCACCAAGGCGAUGAUAGAUAGGCGGCCUUAACGGGUGGUCGCCCACACUGGGAUUGAGAUACGGCCCAGACUCCUACGGGAGCAGCAGUCGAGAAUAGUCUACAAUGGCCGGAAGGCUGAUAGUGCGACGCCGCGUGAACGAGGGAGCCCUUCGGGGUGUAAAGUUCUUUUCUAUUACGAGCAGUGCUAUAUAUAUGGAUAGUAUAUAUAGAGGGAUAGUAGUAUAGGAAUAAGCAACGGCUAACUCCGUGCCAGCAGCCGACGGUAAAA
rnacentral:rRNA from 1 species